rnacentral:rRNA from 1 species
AACGAACGCUGGCGGCAGGCUUAACACAUGCAAGUCGAACGCAUCCUUCGGGGUGAGUGGCAGACGGGUGAGUAACGCGUGGGAACGUGCCCUUCAGUUCGGGAUAACCCAGGGAAACUUGGGCUAAUACCGGAUACGUGCGAGAGCAGAAAGAUUUAUCGCUGAAGUAGAUCGGCCCGCGUCUGAUUAGCUAGUUGGUGGGGUAAUGGCCCACCAAGGCGACGAUCAGUAGCUGGUCUGAGAGGAUGAUCAGCCACAUUGGGACUGAGACACGGCCCAAACUCCUACGGGAGGCAGCAGUGGGGAAUAUUGGACAAUGGGCGCAAGCCUGAUCCAGCCAUGCCGCGUGAGUGAUGAAGGCCUUAGGGUUGUAAAGCUCUUUCGUCCGGGACGAUAAUGACGGUACCGGAAGAAGAAGCCCCGGCUAACUUCGUGCCAGCCGCCGCUGUAA